rnacentral:rRNA from 1 species
UACGUAGGGUGCGAGCGUUGUCCGGAAUUAUUGGCGUAAAGAGCUUGUAGGCGGUUUGUCGCGUCUGCUGUGAAAAUCCGGGGCUCAACCCCGGACUUGCAGUGGGUACGGGCAGACUAGAGUGUGGUAGGGGAGACUGGAAUUCCUGGUGUAGCGGUGGAAUGCGCAGAUAUCAGGAGGAACACCGAUGGCGAAGGCAGGUCUCUGGGCCACUACUGACGCUGAGAAGCGAAAGCAUGGGGAGCGAACAGG